GCUAGAACGAACGCUGGCGGCGCGUUUAAGCAUGCAAGUCGAGCGGCAAGGGCCUUCGGGCCCCUAGAGCGGCGGACGGGUGAGUAACACGUGGACAAUCUGCCCCCCGGCCCGGGAUAGCCCAGGGAAACCUGGAUUAAUACCGGAUGAGACGGGACCCGCGAUGGCGGGAUCCGGGAAAGGCGCUGCGGCGCCGCCGGGGGAUGAGUCUGCGUCCCAUUAGCUAGACGGCGGGGUAACGGCCCACCGUGGCGACGAUGGGUAGCCGGCCUGAGAGGGUGGACGGCCACAUUGGAACUGAGACACGGUCCAGACUCCUACGGGAGGCAGCAGCUAAGAAUCUUCCGCAAUGGGCGAAAGCCUGACGGAGCGACGCCCGCGUGAACGAAGAAGGCCGUGAGGUUGUAAAGUUCUUUUCGGGAGGGGGAACAACCGUGGCAGGGAAUGGCCGCGGGAUGACGUGAAUCCCGGAAUAAGCCCCGGCUAACUACGUGCCAGCCGCUGC
rnacentral:rRNA from 1 species